GCUAAGCCCAGAUGGAAACGGCAUCCUUUUAUAUCUCGUUUUUUCAACGAGAUAUAAAAGAUAUAGUGCACAGCUGGAAAUAAG
rnacentral:sRNA from 1 species